GACAUUUUUGCUACCACUUCUGUAGCCAUUGUUCUUAAGAUUAUGUUGUAAACUAUAAAACUUGGAAGUUUUUUAGCGGUAUCAUGCCAGGAAUGGAUUUUUAUGACUUCAUAGUUUGUAUGAUGCAACUGUUGGAUUUACUUUUAUUAAUGUUUAUGACUUGUACUCUCUUGCAUUUGCCAUCUUAUGUUGAGUUUAUAUUGACCAGAUUUUUUUUUUUUGGUU
rnacentral:misc_RNA from 1 species